GAUGAACGCUGGCGGCGUGCCUAAUACAUGCAAGUCGAGCGAACAGACGAGGAGCUUGCUCCUCUGACGUUAGCGGCGGACGGGUGAGUAACACGUGGAUAACCUACCUAUAAGACUGGGAUAACUUCGGGAAACCGGAGCUAAUACCGGAUAAUAUAUUGAACCGCAUGGUUCAAUAGUGAAAGACGGUUUUGCUGUCACUUAUAGAUGGAUCCGCGCCGCAUUAGCUAGUUGGUAAGGUAACGGCUUACCAAGGCAACGAUGCGUAGCCGACCUGAGAGGGUGAUCGGCCACACUGGAACUGAGACACGGUCCAGACUCCUACGGGAGGCAGCAGUAGGGAAUCUUCCGCAAUGGGCGAAAGCCUGACGGAGCAACGCCGCGUGAGUGAUGAAGGUCUUUGGAUCGUAAAACUCUGUUAUUAGGGAAGAACAAAUGUGUAAGUAACUAUGCACGUCUUGACGGUACCUAAUCAGAAAGCCACGGCUAACUACGUG
rnacentral:rRNA from 1 species